rnacentral:rRNA from 1 species
UACGAAGGGGGCUAGCGUUGUUCGGAUUUACUGGGCGUAAAGCGCACGUAGGCGGUUUGUUAAGUGAGAGGUGGAAAUCCCAGAGCUCAACUCUGGAACUGCCUUUCAUACUGACAAGCUAGAGUCCGGAAGAGGUAAGUGGAACUCCUAGUGUAGAGGUGGAAUUCGUAGAUACUAGGAAGAACACCAGUGGCGAAGGCGGCUUACUGGUCCGGAACUGACGCUGAGGUGCGAAAGCGUGGGGAGCAAACAGG